rnacentral:rRNA from 1 species
AACGAACGCUGGCGGCAGGCUUUACACAUGCAAGUCGAACGCAUCCUUCGGGGUGAGUGGCAGACGGGUGAGUAACGCGUGGGAACGUGCCCUUCAGUUCGGGAUAACCCAGGGAAACUUGGGCUAAUACCGGAUACGUGCGAGAGCAGAAAGAUUUAUCGCUGAAGGAUCGGCCCGCGUCUGAUUAGCUAGUUGGUGGGGUAAUGGCCCACCAAGGCGACGAUCAGUAGCUGGUCUGAGAGGAUGAUCAGCCACAUUGGGACUGGGACACGGCCCAAACUCCUACGGGAGGCAGCAAGGGGGAAUAUUGGACAAUGGGCGCAAGCCUGAUCCAGCCAUGCCGCGUGAGUGAUGAAGGCCUUAGGGUUGUAAAGCUCUUUCGUCCGGGACGAUAAUGACGGUACCGGAAGAAGAAGCCCCGGCUAACUUCGUGCCAGCCGCCGCCGUAA